UCUAAAUAGAAAAUAUGGAGACAGGAUAUAAUAGGAAACAUUAGUUACACAACCAAGGCCUAGCCUGGAAUGCCGUAUUUGAGAAUGAUAUGGAAUCAAGGUCUACAAAAUCUUCUUGGGAAAACUGGCCUUUUUCUUGGAUUAAACAUAUGCCAGACUUCCAGGAAUCUUAAGGAGACCUUACAUGGAAAAGAAUGAAGCAGAAGAGUCAGAACCAGAGAGAUGGCUCUUUCACGAGAAAAGUUUAACUGAGAGCUUGUGUUGAAAUGCCUUGCCUCCCCAAAAUGCAUGGAUGACCAGGACUCUUAACUCAAUGGAAUCUACAAACUAUGGCUACCCGGCCAUCUUAAGAAUAAGAAUGUCAAUGUUUUACACCUGUGUGCAUUUUUAAAGAAGAUUAUUAUGCCAGGUUAAAAUAUAGA